ACUGUAUAAACAACACUGACUUCUAUUGUUAACUUCUAACAAUACUGACGUCAUAACAUCUUAAGCUUCAACCAUAACACGGCUAUAACACGUUAAGACGUUCUGCUCUGCAGACAACACCACAAAAGAACAAUGAAAAAGCAAAAUGCACUUUCAAUCACAAACUGACAAACUACACUGACUUUCUGCAGAUUGUUGUGCACAGUGUUUGUGCUUGUAUGUCCAAUGCUUUUAUAGGUGGUCUCAUUCUGAAGAGUCCCAGCACCUCAAGAGCUCGGCUCAGGGGCUUUUCCUUCAGUAAGGUACUUCCACAAAUAAACAUUUACAGGAAUCAUGACAGAAGCCUCAGGCCUUGCCUAUCCGCUCAGAAAUGGUUUUAAUAGGAACUCCUCGCCGUAUCACCUUGACAUGGAUGAAGAGGGUGGCAGGAGACAGACUAGAGCCGUCAGCUUUUAGCAGGUGAACAUGA